UGUUGCAGGUAAUUGCUCCUCCUCUCUUUGCUGAAAUUUAUUGGCUGUUGCAAUUCUGAUAAAACAACUAGUUGGUUGUUGCAAUUUCUUUUGAUGGUGCUCUGAAUCCAUAUUGGGAGCUUUUGAUUGAUGAUGUUCCUGUGGUGGAUCCCAAACCGGAGCAGCCCAAGAUUCAAGUCAUUCAACAAGAUGGUGGCAAUAUAUCAUGUAAAAAGAAAUAUAGAACAGUCAGAUACAAACCAGAGUUAUCAGAAGGUAAAUAUUACCUCCUUUCUUCUUCUUGUACUGUUGCAUGAUUGUUUUGAUUGAGAACGUCUUCUUUCUUGUUUAAUUUGAUUGUUUUCUUAAAACC